rnacentral:rRNA from 1 species
UACGAAGGGGGCUAGCGUUGUUCGGAAUUCCUGGGCGUAAAGCGCGCGCAGGCGGUCUUCCAAGUCAGUGGUGAAAGCCUGGAGCUCAACUCCAGAACUGCCAUUGAAACUGUAGAGCUAGAGUAUCGGAGGGGAUAGCGGAAUUGCUAAUGUAGAGGUGAAAUUCGUAGAUAUUAGCAGGAACACCGGUGGCGAAGGCGGCGACCUGGUCCGAUACUGACGCUGAGGCGCGAAAGCGUGGGGAGCAAACAGG